rnacentral:rRNA from 1 species
UCAGAUUGAACGCUGGCGGCAGGCCUAACACAUGCAAGUCGAGCGGUAGCACAGAGAGCUUGCUCUCGGGUGACGAGCGGCGGACGGGUGAGUAAUGUCUGGGAAACUGCCUGAUGGAGAGGGAUAACUACUGGAAACGGUAGCUAAUACCGCAUAAUGUCGCAAGACCAAAGUGGGGGACCUUCGGGCCUCAUGCCAUCAGAUGUGCCCAGAUGGGAUUAGCUAGUAGGUGGGGUAACGGCUCACCUAGGCGACGAUCCCUAGCUGGUCUGAGAGGAUGACCAGCCACACUGGAACUGAGACACGGUCCAGACUCCUACGGGAGGCAGCAGUGGGGAAUAUUGCACAAUGGGCGCAAGCCUGAUGCAGCCAUGCCGCGUGUGUGAAGAAGGCCUUCGGGUUGUAAAGCACUUUCAGCGGGGAGGAAGGCGGUGAGGUUAAUAACCUCACCGAUUGACGUUACCCGCAGAAGAAGCACCGGCUAACUCCGUGCCAGCAGCCGCGGUAAUACGGAGGGUGCAAGCGUUAAUCGGAAUUACUGGGCGUAAAGCGCACGCAGGCGGUCUGUCAAGUCGGAUGUGAAAUCCCCGGGCUCAACCUGGGAACUGCAUUCGAAACUGGCAGGCUAGAGUCUUGUAGAGGGGGGUAGAAUUCCAGGUGUAGCGGUGAAAUGCGUAGAGAUCUGGAGGAAUACCGGUGGCGAAGGCGGCCCCCCUGGACAAAGACUGACGCUCAGGUGCGAAAGCGUGGGGAGCAAACAGGAUUAGAUACCCUGGUAGUCCACGCCGUAAACGAUGUCGAUUUGGAGGUUGUGCCCUUGAGGCGUGGCUUCCGGAGCUAACGCGUUAAAUCGACCGCCUGGGGAGUACGGCCGCAAGGUUAAAACUCAAAUGAAUUGACGGGGGCCCGCACAAGCGGUGGAGCAUGUGGUUUAAUUCGAUGCAACGCGAAGAACCUUACCUGGUCUUGACAUCCACAGAACUUUCCAGAGAUGGAUUGGUGCCUUCGGGAACUGUGAGGCAGGUGCUGCAUGGCUGUCGUCAGCUCGUGUUGUGAAAUGUUGGGUUAAGUCCCGCAACGAGCGCAACCCUUAUCCUUUGUUGCCAGCGGUUCGGCCGGGAACUCAAAGGAGACUGCCAGUGAUAAACUGGAGGAAGGUGGGGAUGACGUCAAGUCAUCAUGGCCCUUACGACCAGGGCUACACACGUGCUACAAUGGCAUAUACAAAGAGAAGCGACCUCGCGAGAGCAAGCGGACCUCAUAAAGUAUGUCGUAGUCCGGAUUGGAGUCUGCAACUCGACUCCAUGAAGUCGGAAUCGCUAGUAAUCGUAGAUCAGAAUGCUACGGUGAAUACGUUCCCGGGCCUUGUACACACCGCCCGUCACACCAUGGGAGUGGGUUGCAAAAGAAGUAGGUAGCUUAACCUUCGGGAGGGCGCUUACCACUUUGUGAUU